UUCAUUUGAAAUUGGGAUUGAAGAGUGCA
rnacentral:piRNA from 1 species